rnacentral:rRNA from 1 species
CUCUUCGGGGGUGGAUUAGUGGCGAACGGGUGAGUAACACGUGGGCAAUCUGCCCUGCACUUCGGGACAAGCCCUGGAAACGGGGUCUAAUACCGGAUAUGACUCGGGGAGGCAUCUCCUCCGGGUGGAAAGCUUCGGCGGUGCAGGAUGAGCCCGCGGCCUAUCAGCUUGUUGGUGGGGUGAUGGCCUACCAAGGCGACGACGGGUAGCCGGCCUGAGAGGGCGACCGGCCACACUGGGACUGAGACACGGCCCAGACUCCUACGGGAGGCAGCAGUGGGGAAUAUUGCACAAUGGGCGGAAGCCUGAUGCAGCGACGCCGCGUGAGGGAUGACGGCCUUCGGGUUGUAAACCUCUUUCAGCAGGGAAGAAGCCUUUAAAAGUGACGGUACCUGCAGAAGAAGCACCGGCUAACUACGUGCCAGCAGCCGCGGUAAUACGUAGGGUGCGAGCGUUGUCCGGAAUUAUUGGGCGUAAAGAGCUCGUAGGCGGCUUGUCGCGUCGGAUGUGAAAGCCCGGGGCUUAACCCUGGGUCUGCAUUCGAUACGGGCAGGCUGGAGUUCGGUAGGGGAGAUCGGAAUUCCUGGUGUAGCGGUGAAAU